UCCGCGGGCAACCCCGCGCCGCGCUCGGCUCCCGCCGCCAUCUUGCAGCGAGCGGGGGGAGCGCGGGGCCGGAGCCGCCCUCGCCCUGCCCCGCCCGGGGAGCCUGAGGAAGCCCCCGCCGCCCACCCCGGCAGGGCCGGCCCGACCCCCGCCGGGGCCGCGGGGCCCCCUGAGGAGGGAGCGACGCGGGGCAGCGGGGGGAGGCUCCAGGCGAGCUUGGCGCUGUCUGUAACGGAGCUCCCGGGGGUGUAUGCGGAUAAACGGGAAUUUCACAGAAGCACAGGAUGCGUCAGGUUGAAAGUGACCACAGUGACUCGUCUGGUCCCACCUCCCUGCUCCAGCAGGGUCAUCCCAGAGCACAUGGCACAGGACUGUGUCCAGAGGGUUCUGGAAUAUCUCCACUAAGGGAGACUCCACACCCUCUCUGGACUGUUUGUUCAGUGCUCAGUCACUGCACAGCAAAGAAGUUCUUCCUCAUGUCCAGGUGGAACUUCCUGGGCAUCAGUUCCUGCCCCUCGUCCUGUUGCUGGGCACCGCCGAGCAGAGCCUGGUCCAUCUUCUGAUACCUCCCUUUAGAUAUUUAUACACAUUAAUGAGGUCCCCUCUCAGUGGCUGCUCUCGAGGCUGAGCAGCCCCAGCUCCCUCAGCCUUUCCUCGUCACAGACAUGCUCCAGUCCCUUCAUCUCUGUAGCCUCCACUGGAUCUGCUCCAGGAGCUCCACAUCCCCACUGUCCUGAGUAGCCCAGAACUGGACACAGCACUCCAGAUGUGCCUCACAGCACUGAGCAGAGGGCAGGAUCACCUCCCUGACCUGCUGGCAAUGCUCUUCCUAAUGCACUCCAGGAUUCUGUUGCCCUGCUUGGCCCCCAGGACACACUGCUGGCUCAGGGGCAGCUGGUUGUCCACCAGGACCUUCUCUUCAUUCCACCCCCACAGUAACACAUCUUCACAUGGAUUUUAGGGAGCAACUCGAGUGCUCUGGAGGAAUGUUGAGGCUCUGUUAUGAGAGGAAUUGCCCUAAGAUCCAUCCUGAUGGAGGCCAAGACCAGGGCACUGUCCCUCUCCUUCACUGAGGCUCGAUCUGGGUCACCUCACCCAGCAGGAAUCAUUCCCCAAAUCCCCAUCACUGACACCUUCCUUAGGUGGUUGACAUUCCACAAGUCAAUAAAGGAAUUGCCUGCACUAAAAGGCAGCUACAAAGUGCUGUGUGAAGAGAGCAGGAAAUAUCCAGGAUAUUCCCACUGUCCAUGGAGGUAACUCAUGAAGAUGGAGAAGGAGGUGAGCCACCACCACCUCAUGGCACCCAAAAUCAGGCACCAAUACCCAAGUGGCCUGAGGAAAUAUUCCCUCUUGAACCCAAAUAUCAGCCCUGUUUUGACCUGCACUACCCUCAAGUAGCUACCUGAAUAUAAGAACAAUCAAAAUUAGGAAACCAUAAAGUAAAAUACUUUAUACACAAUUAAAUACUUUAUACACAAUUAAAUUGGUAAGGUUAAAGAGUCCUUGCUAACCCAUGCUGUGAGAACUGACACAGGUUAGGGAACCUCUCACAUACACCCAUGUGCUGCUACACCUGCAGGAGUGGGAAACACCUUCAGGAAGAUGCUGAGAUGGUGGGACUCAGGAUGAAAUGCAGGUCUCCAAAAAAAAGAGCUGUACCUGGAGAGAGCAAAAGCAAAAAAGCACUAUUGAAAAAAUAGCAGAACACUCCAGCAGAACAGCAAAUGUAACUUUAGUUGUGCUACUGACCUGAUGCUGUUACACAGAUAAGCCACUUUGUAGUAAUUUAAUUUAAUUUAAUUCAAUUCACUAAAUUCCUUGUUAAUUAACCACAGCAGUUGCUCUUGUAGCUCUUCUAAGCUAAAGAUUAAUUUCCUCCUGCUUCUGCAGCCUUGAAGUCAUAAAAGCCGUUUAUAUAUAUAUAUAAAUUUUUAUGGAAUGAGUAUGUUAGAAUUGUGUCACAAAUGUUCUUUUGGAAUUAAAGGUGCAGUCAGGCAUCAUUGUCCAGGUUGGUCUAGUGGAAGAUGUUCCUGCCCGUGGCAGGGGGUGGAACGAGAUGAGCUUUAAGGACCCUCCCAACUCAAACCAGUCUGGGAUUCUAUGAUUCUGUCUUCAAAAGUACAAACAAGUUCAGAUCUGUACAGAUAAAAUAAAAGCCAAAAAUUGAGAACAUCUGCUGGAUCUAAGACCCAGCCUGAUGUUCCCAUGUAUUUGAGAUACAGGGAAUGUAUCUGUGGGCUCUUUAGGUAAGUGAUUGCUUAUAUGAAAGAGAAAUUAAACAAUUUCAUAUAAUCUGAAACCACAUGGAUUGGUGUUUCCUGCAGUGAGGGUGUGGAAUCCAUCAGUUGCUGUAUAUUCCAUAAAAAUCAUGGAUUACCAGCACCACUUCAUGUCAACAAAACAUAAACAAUCCCAUUCUCUUUAUACUGUGCCCACUGUUUCCUGCUCCAGCUGCUCCUUUUGUUUCAUAAAGACACUGAAAUUUUGAACCCAACAGAUGUAGAUUCAGUUGUCAACACCAGUAAUUAGUUGGGUGAUGAUCCUCCAGAUGCUCAGUCAUCUCACAAAUGCAUACACCAGAGGUGCCAAAACAAGUUCCUUUGCCCAUUUUCCCAACAAAUUUCAAUACAUUUGACAUCUCAGUGCACCAUUCCAUAGUGCAGUAACAUGCCCAAACAUGGGAUGCUUCUUUACUCCUGCGGUUUUCCUCCAUACAAAAACACUUCAAGUGACUGUGCCCAGAGCCAAACAUUUUCUUUUAAAGUGGAACCUGACAGCUUUUAAUUCGCCAUAACACUGCUCCUAAGUGUUAGGAAUGAUGGAUUAUCUCAGGAACAGCCUGGUUGGGAACUUCUUCUCAGGUUCCAUCCUGUAACUCAGUGGUCUGUGAGUAAAUAAUAAAGAGAUGGAGGAGGUAAGAGCUAUAACUUGCAAAGUGAGUAACUAUUCCAAGGAAAUCAUUACACUGGGCCAUACUGUAAUGGGCUAUUUUGGGACUCGUGGUCUUUGCAGUACAAUUUAUGACCUUUGUUGCCUAAGGCAUCAUUAGCAAAUCUCUGUGGUUGUAUUUAAAGGCAGCAAAAUGAGAGUAAAUAUUAAAACAAACCACCACAAAUCGAAGCCAAAUUCUUGAAUAACAACUGAGAACAAAGGAAAAGGAGAUCAAACAAAUAUUUUAAGUACAGUUCUCUUCAAUGAAUGGCCUAAGGGAACCUCUGGGUUCUUUCUCCUAAAUCAAUGCCCUCCCUGCUUUAAAUCACCAUUCCUCCCUCAUAGGCUUUAUUUUUCUUCAUUCAACUUCAAAUUUAGUCAUAACUUAUUGGCACAAAGUGCACUUUGGCAAUUUUGCUAUUUCAAAAAAAUUAAAAUGUUCCUUGGAUUUCUGGCAAAAGCAAGUACAGCCCCACAUUCCUACCCAAAGUAUUUUUAUUGGCCAGCCCAAUAAUGUGCUGCAAAGGGUAGUUUCAAACCAUUCUGUCUCAGAUUCCCUAAGAGGGCCAGUUUUCUAGGAAAUGGAAACUGAUAGUGAUAGUUCACAGGGAGUUGUAAAAUCAUUUCACAUUAAAAUAUAGGGAAAUUAUAAUAAUGGGUUAAAGCAUUCCUUAGGGUAAAUAAAUACAUCUCAAUUACUAUCUCAUUUACAACUCCUUGGAUCUGGCUAAUUAUAAACUUGGAGAAAAUUUGCUGUGAAAACUGAGUAGCUGGGAUGUCCUGGGAGUGUGCAGCAAUUAAUUUGGAUAAGAUAAACCAGUACAUGAUUUAUCCCUGCCAGCAGAGGUUGGAAUUUCAAACACCCCCACAAUAUUUUGUCCUUAAAAACGCUCUAACUUAUUAAAUACGGAAAAACUUGUUAAAUAUGGAAAACUGGCCUAAAGGAGGGAAUGCAAGUGAAACCUUCCCAAAAAAUAUAUGAGAUUUUCAAAUGUUCUGCCCUUCAGUUAUAAAAAGGUUUCCAUAGAGACUGUCAUCCAAUAUGCCUUUUUGCCAUAAACACACUCACUGAAGUGUCUGACUUCUCCAUGUUCAUGGGAGCAAAAUAAAUCCAUCCCCUUCCUGUUUUCCAGGUUCCCUGGCUGAGGUUACGGCAGCAACCCAUUUUGCCUUGUUUUUGGAGAUUUCCUUGGUUCUGCUGCAAUGGAAAUAAACACACUUAACGAGGUUAUUAUUAUUUGCAGCUAUUAGAUAAUGCUGUUUAAUUACUCAACCCUUAAUCUCACCCAGUUGCAUGUGAUUUGCAUACAUUAUGCCAAGAGAAUUGAUAUUGGGAGCAAAGGAAUCAAAGUGUCAGAAUGCUGGAAAAGUGAAAAUAAGUGUAUUAAAACUAUUUGACUGCA